rnacentral:misc_RNA from 1 species
GGGAUGUUUCAGACACAUCAACGAGUAUUUCAAAGAUUAAGAGGGAAGAAGCUAGAAUCACUGCAUGGGAGAACCUGCAAAAGGCAAAAGCAGAGGCAGCAAUGAGGAAACUGGAGAUGAAACUGGAGAAAAAGAGAUCGUCAUCCAUGGAUAAGAUUAUGAACAAACUUAGAUCCGCUCAGAAGAAGGCCCAUGAAAUGAGAAGCUCAAUGUUAGCCAACCAAUCUCAUGAAGUAAGAAGAUCCUCAAGCAAGGCAUUAUCUUUCCGUCAGACACGUCAAAUAGGGUCACUAAGUGGCUGCUUUACAUGCCAUGCAUUUUGAUGUUAC